GGUGGGGUCGCAUAGUGGUUUAGUGCACCGGUCUUGAAAACCGGAGUCGGUUAACGCCGACCGCGAGUUCGAAUCUCGCCCCCACCGCCA
rnacentral:tRNA from 6 species